AAGAACCUGAAACCGUGUACGUACAAGCAGUGGGAGCACAGAGCAAUCUGUGUGACUGCGUACCUUUUGUAUAAUGGGUCAGCGACUUAUAUUCUGUAGCAAGGUUAACCGAAUAGGGGAGCCGAAGGGAAACCGAGUCUUAACUGGGCGUUAAGUUGCAGGGUAUAGACCCGAAACCCGGUGAUCUAGCCAUGGGCAGGUUGAAGGUUGGGUAACACUAACUGGAGGACCGAACCGACUAAUGUUGAAAAAUUAGCGGAUGACUUGUGGCUGGGGGUGAAAGGCCAAUCAAACCGGGAGAUAGCUGGUUCUCCCCGAAAGCUAUUUAGGUAGCGCCUCGUGAAUUCAUCUCCGGGGGUAGAGCACUGUUUCGGCAAGGGGGUCAUCCCGACUUACCAACCCGAUGCAAACUGCGAAUACCGGAGAAUGUUAUCACGGGAGACACACGGCGGGUGCUAACGUCCGUCGUGAAGAGGGAAACAACCCAGACCGCCAGCUAAGGUCCCAAAGUCAUGGUUAAGUGGGAAACGAUGUGGGAAGGCCCAGACAGCCAGGAUGUUGGCUUAGAAGCAGCCAUCAUUUAAAGAAAGCGUAAUAGCUCACUGGUCGAGUCGGCCUGCGCGGAAGAUGUAACGGGGCUAAACCAUGCACCGAAGCUGCGGCAGCGACACUGUGUGUUGUUGGGUAGGGGAGCGUUCUGUAAGCCUGCGAAGGUGUGCUGUGAGGCAUGCUGGAGGUAUCAGAAGUGCGAAUGCUGACAUAAGUAACGAUAAAGCGGGUGAAAAGCCCGCUCGCCGGAAGACCAAGGGUUCCUGUCCAACGUUAAUCGGGGCAGGGUGAGUCGACCCCUAAGGCGAGGCCGAAAGGCGUAGUCGAUGGGAAACAGGUUAAUAUUCCUGUACUUGGUGUUACUGCGAAGGGGGGACGGAGAAGGCUAUGUUGGCCGGGCGACGGUUGUCCCGGUUUAAGCGUGUAGGCUGGUUUUCCAGGCAAAUCCGGAAAAUCAAGGCUGAGGCGUGAUGACGAGGCACUACGGUGCUGAAGCAACAAAUGCCCUGCUUCCAGGAAAAGCCUCUAAGCAUCAGGUAACAUCAAAUCGUACCCCAAACCGACACAGGUGGUCAGGUAGAGAAUACCAAGGCGCUUGAGAGAACUCGGGUGAAGGAACUAGGCAAAAUGGUGCCGUAACUUCGGGAGAAGGCACGCUGAUAUGUAGGUGAAGUCCCUCGCGGAUGGAGCUGAAAUCAGUCGAAGAUACCAGCUGGCUGCAACUGUUUAUUAAAAACACAGCACUGUGCAAACACGAAAGUGGACGUAUACGGUGUGACGCCUGCCCGGUGC
rnacentral:rRNA from 1 species